UACGUAGGUGGCAAGCGUUAUCCGGAUUUACUGGGUGUAAAGGGCGUGUAGGCGGGCUGGCAAGUCAGAUGUGAAAACCAUGGGCUCAACCCAUGGCCUGCAUUUGAAACUGUUGGUCUUGAGUGCUGGAGAAGCAAUCGGAAUUCCGUGAGUAGCGGUGAAAUGCGUAGAUAUACGGAGGAACACCAGUGGCGAAGGCGGAUUGCUGGACAGUAACUGACGCUGAGGCGCGAAAGCGUGGGGAGCAAACAGG
rnacentral:rRNA from 1 species